AUUAUUAAUCGGUCCUCUUCUCCUUUCCUUUCUUCUUAUUCUCCCUCUCUGCCAGCACCGUCGCCACUGCGCCGUCCGCCGUCACCGUCGCCGUCGGGAGAAAUUAAUAGAGGUUGAAAAGACAUAGAAAAAAGAGACUAGAAGUGUUGUCGUUCGUCGGAAUUCGUUUCCGCUGCCGGGCUGUCACCGCCGCUGGCGGCAGCUAUUAAUAUUUGAUACAUGUGAUUGAUAAGAGGAGGCUAUUUAGUUGAUGUAGCCAUGUAGAAAUAUUAUUAUGUCUGAAAUUGGAAUUAGAAUUUUGUUCGUUUUCAA